GUUUCCAUUAUUAUUUCAUUUAUUUCUGAUGAUGACAGCUCCACCGGUAGUCCUCCAGAACCAGCUGCAGCUGAGCAGCUUUCCAGUCCACCAGCGAAGAAGAAAUCGUGCGCCAUUUUGGCUCUUCCUCGGCACGGUUCAGCGGUUUCCUGCCUGUUGGAGUCUUUAAGGUGUUUAUUACCGUUAAACCCGCCUGACAUCGACUGGAAGUCACUUAAAAUGUUGCUGAGAAGUUCAUUAGUCUUCAGUGUGAUCAUAUUUUCAACUUUUAUCUCCUGAAAGACAAUUUUAAACCAAAGUUAGCACCAACUCCCUGAGCUAAUGUUAACGGUAACUGCUCAACCAACUGACGUCAUCCACCAUCAGCUGACGUCAUCCACCAUCAGCUGACGUCAUCCACCAUCAGCUGCAGCAAGAUGACCAGUACUGAAGGUACCGGACGAUGCCUGUAAUCAUGGUCCGAAAAUAACAAGCGCCAAAUGUGGAUAGAUCUUAGUUUGGCGUAUGUUGCCGUGGUCCGCCGUUUGAAAUGCAGUUUCUGAACGUUUUGGAAGUUCACCGUCCACCAGCACCCGCCACUCUUGCCUCACCUCCAGCACCGAGGCCGCAUCUCCAUUACCCGCUUUAAGAUCUUCUGCGUUUCUCUCGGUGGAAAUCUGGCUUCCUUCCACACAACAGAAGAGUACCAGUUCCUCAGAGACACCAUUAAAGGAUCGACCGGCUCAGAUGUAGAAACCUGGGUUGGAGGCUACGAUUCAUCAAAGG